UGGAGCAUGUGGUUUAAUUCGAAGAUACGCGCAGAACCUUACCAACACUUGACAUGUUCGUCGCGACUUUAAGAGAUUAAAGUUUUCGGUUCGGCCGGACGAAAUACAGGUGCUGCAUGGCUGUCGUCAGCUCGUGUCGUGAGAUGUUGGGUUAAGUCCCGCAACGAGCGCAACCCUCACUUUUAGUUGCCAUCAUUAAGUUGGGCACUCUGAAAGAACUGCCAGUGAUAAGCUGGAGGAAGGUGGGGAUGACGUCAAGUCCUCAUGGCCCUUACGUGUUGGGCUACACACGUGCUACAAUGGUAUCUACAACAGGAAGCAAGACGGCGACGUUAAGCAAAUCCUUAAAAGAUACCUCAGUUCGGAUUGCACUCUGCAACUCGAGUGCAUGAAGCUGGAAUUACUAGUAAUCGUGGAUCAGCGUGCCACGGUGAAUGCGUUCCCGGGUCUU
rnacentral:rRNA from 1 species